AUUAUAAAAACAAUACAGAUGAAAAAUUAACAAAUAAAUACAUGACUAUUGCAGUACAAUAAACAUAUAUUUUACUUUGCAAUGUAUUAUUGUACAGGGUAUUUGUGCAGAAAAAGAAAAUGUACAAAGCAGACAUUACAUAAUCUAAUUUCCAUUCCAACUACUGACAAACAGGAACAAAAUUUCCCUUUCAAAGUGAAGCAAUUUGUUUUACAAACAUCCAAAAUUAGCAUAAACAGGCAUUUCUACUUAGUUACAAUGCAUGCUAGUUAUUCAAAAAAAAAAAAUCUACACUAGAGUCCAAUUCAAUACAAAGCUGAUUAGUUUAGAGGAAUGAGAAAACCAAAACAAAUCCUGAACAAAUAAAUAAAAAAAGUGAGCUCAGAAAUUCUGUACAAGGCUUUUUUAGAAUAUCAAUGUACAAAACAUCACUUAAAAACCUUUGUAGCUUAAAUUGCUGUUACAAAUACACUGCUUUAAGCAAGUAGUUGUCAUUAGCGUACAUUAUGUGAACACUAUGGACAAAUAUGGUCACUUCUGUUUCUGAGGUCAGGUGGAGGAGAGAACCAAAAAGUCCACUGGAGGGGAAGUUCUCAAUUGAGUCCUUAAUUAGUGCUUUUAUAAAAACACAUUUCAGCAAGACAUUUAAAAUCCAAAUUUAAAAAAUGAUACCAUGUUUUGUUUCCCAUUAAUGCAGUCAUACUCUGUUUCUUUGUUCUAUUGGCACCGAUUCUACUGAACCAGACUCUCUCACAGCGUUAUAUGAAGCAAAACUCAUUUGCCAACAAAUCCCCCACGACAGAAAGAAACCAAACACUUUCUAUGCACUACAAGUGGCUAUCAGUGAAAGAACACAUUUGUCAAAAUUCUGUUUUAUUUUUUUUGUAUAGGUCCUGCUUCUCUUGUACCAGCUCUUGAAGUUGAGACUGCGCCUCAUGCAAGAACCACUUGUAGGAAUAUUCAACAUACAUUGAUGUAAAAGCAUAGCACAUUGGUAGCCGAGAGGAUGUAGAACAUGCCAUAUUGUCCCAGGAUCAAUUCAACCCUUGGGACCCACAUGUCAAACCCCUUUCUACCAACUCCCUAAUUAUGGCAAAAAAGCCAAAGAAAGAAGUUAGGAGUGUGAGGAAGUUAGGAGAAUUUGCCAUCAACUAUUUCCUUAGCUGUGAUAAUAAACUAUAGGGAUGAUUUUGUGAAUGAAACUCACCCACAGAGCAGAACCAAAGCUUCAUAAUUCAACUUGGGUGUUCUGAUGAUCACAAAAUGAAAAAGGAGGUAAUUAUCAGGCUGAUUUUCAUGAUAAAUUUGUGCAGUUUUCUUGAUACUGACACAUAAAAGAAUACCUGCCCAUAAAUAAAUAUAGGAUGUUAAGAGUGAGGAUACCGAAACGUUCUUGCAUGAGGUCCACUCUUGUGUAUAAGCUUCAUCUUGUGGCUGUCUGGGUUAACUUCACCAAUGUCUACACACCACACAAUUAACGCCUGUGCCUUUCUAUUAGAGCAGCUCAAGUCAAUAUACUGAUUAGAGUAAUGCCCACAGGCAUUGAAAUGGCACUUUAAACUAUACUGCCUAUUCUGAAAAAUGCUACUUUUUUGUUGUUUUUGUUAUAUAAUGAGAUCACUUUAAUUAUGAAUUUCUCUUAACUUGAGCUUGAAGGGUAGAACAUUUUUUUUUUGUAUGCAGCCCUUUCCUCCCAUGGGAGGUGAUGGUCCGACUGAGGACAGACAGCAGAUCUGAAAACACAGACAGACUGAGGUCUCUCAGAUUUGGCAAAACACAGUUUAAAACAGAUUCUUCAACUUUAAGGUCUAGAAAGGCAGACUAUAUGAUCUGAGGUUAUUGUGGAUUUGGAGAGUCCAAAGCGGCCACUCAAAUGUUUUUGUCACAUCAGAGAUGACUAUUAACACUGCACUUUUGAAAUACAGUGUUACUGAUUUCCUUUUUUUGCUUUUACAUUAAGUGUGAUCUUAAGAACCAGUGAGGCAGCAUGUCAUGUUUCAGCUCACCUCCGUCUCUAAUCAGUCGUGAGUGUCUUUCUUUUGAGAGGAGUUUUGGGACACUUGUCUGUGUGUGUGUGUGUGUGUGUGUGUGUGUGUGUGUGUGUGUCUGUGUGAAUGUUUGUGUGUGUGUGUGUUGUGGCG